UAUUUAUUCAAGACUGUUCUAACCAGAGCAUUUUCUCUACUAAGUUAAGGCAGAGAGACUGGACUUUGUACUGAAACAAGGGCUGGGGAUUUUACAGCCAAGGGGCAGUGCGGGGAUGAACCUGGCUGCAGGAAUAAAGAUUUCUCUGAAGAGAAGCUUGUGCCCUUCCCUCUAGCCAACAGACUCUUGAAACAGUGGACCAAGAAACUGGGACUCCCCCGACUUCACCCCAUCCCAAGUCUCAAGGUAAAAUUGACUCAGGAUACAGCUUCAUAUCCCACAUUUACCUCACAGCCUGCUGGAAGCCAAGGGCCCAGGACCCAGCGAAGGAGAAGACGGAAGGAGCAACAGCUGUCCCCCAUGGAUGAUAUGUCUUUUGACAUC
rnacentral:lncRNA from 1 species